UUGGAGGGCAAGUCUGGUGCCAGCAGCCGCGGUAAUUCCAGCUCCAAUAGCGUAUAUUAAAGUUGUUGCAGUUAAAAAGCUCGUAGUUGAAUUUCAGGGUUUGUCAAUCGGUCGGGCUUCACUGUCCGCACUGAUUUGAUGGAUCCUUACCUUCUGAAUAACCAUCAUGCCAUUAAUUUGGUGCGUUGGGGAAGCAGAGCUGUUACCUUGAAAAAAUUAGAGUGCUUAAAGCAGGCCAGUGCUUGAAUAGAUUAGCAUGGAAUAAUAAAAUAGGACGGCAUGGUUCUAUUUUGUUGGUUUCUAGGAUCACCGUAAUGAUUAAUAGGGAUAGUUGGGGGCAUUAGUAUUCAAUUGUCAGAGGCGAAAUUCUUGGAUUUAUUGAAGACUAACUACUGCGAAAGCAUUUGCCAAGAAUGUUUUCAUUAAUCAAGAACGAAAGUUAGGGGAUCGAAGACGAUCAGAUACCGUCGUAGUCUUAACCAUAAACUAUGCCGACUAGGGAUCGGGCGAAGUUACUUAAUU
rnacentral:rRNA from 1 species